UACGUAGGGUGCGAGCGUUAAUCGGAAUUACUGGGCGUAAAGUGUGCGCAGGCGGCCGCGCAAGUCGAGUGUGAAAGCCCCGAGCUUAACUUGGGAAUUGCGCUCGAAACUACGUGGCUGGAGUGUGGCAGAGGAAGGUGGAAUUCCACGUGUAGCGGUGAAAUGCGUAGAGAUCGGCAGGAACACCAGUGGCGAAAGCGGCUUCCUGGCCCAGACCUGACGCUCAAGUGCGAAAGCUAGGGGAGCGAACGGG
rnacentral:rRNA from 1 species